ACGCGUGGAACCUUACCAGGUCUUGACAUCCUCUGACACUCCUAGAGAUAGGACGUUCCCCUUCGGGGGACAGAGUGACAGGUGGUGCAUGGUUGUCGUCAGCUCGUGUCGUGAGAUGUUGGGUUAAGUCCCGCAACGAGCGCAACCCUUGUUCUUAGUUGCCAUCAUUUAGUUGGGCACUCUAAGGUGACUGCCGGUGACAAACCGGAGGAAGGUGGGGAUGACGUCAAAUCAUCAUGCCCCUUAUGACCUGGGCUACACACGUGCUACAAUGGAUGGUACAAAGGGCAGCAAAACCGCGAGGUCGAGCAAAUCCCAUAAAACCAUUCUCAGUUCGGAUUGUAGGCUGCAACUCGCCUACAUGAAGCUGGAAUCGCUAGUAAUCGCGGAUCAGCAUGCCGCGGUGAAUACGUUCCCGGGCCUUGCACACACCGCCCGU
rnacentral:rRNA from 1 species